rnacentral:tRNA from 1 species
GGGUCGAUGUCCGAGCGGUUAAUGGGGACGGACUGUAAAUUCGUUGACGAUAUGUCUACGCUGGUUCAAAUCCAGCUCGGCCCA